GUAACGCCUAUUUAUGCAAAACAUAAUAUCUGGGUAACACGGCUCUUGGUAUUACAAUGAGCUUUAUUGCAAGGUACUUUCCAUAAACUCUUUUGAACGUCCGCUUUCUUUCACGAUGUAUAUAGCAACGCCUUUAUACAAUGCCAUAGUAUCUGGGUAACGACGGCUUUUUUUUAUAUUACAAUGAGCUUUAUUUCGAUAACGCAUUCUAUGUAAAUUCACAUAUCUUAGUAAAUGACUGAUACAUAUUUAAAAAAA